GCGCCCGUAGCUCAGCCGGAUAGAGCACCGGAUUCCUAAUCCGGGGGCCGCAGGUUCGAAUCCUGCCGGGCGCGCCA
rnacentral:tRNA from 1 species